rnacentral:rRNA from 1 species
UACAGAGGGUGCGAGCGUUGUCCGGAAUCACUGGGCGUAAAGGGCGCGUAGGCGGCCCGGUAAGGUUGCGGUGAAAGCCCGGGGCUCAACCCCGGGAGGCGGGUGGAUACUGUCAAGCUCGAGUCCGGAAGAGGAGUGUGGAAUUCCUGGUGUAGCGGUGAAAUGCGCAGAUAUCAGGAGGAACACCAAUGGCGAAGGCAGCACUCUGGGACGUGACUGACGCUGAGACGCGAAAGCGUGGGGAGCAAACAGG